rnacentral:rRNA from 1 species
AGGGCUAUGGGCGCAGCCUGAUGCAGCCAUGCCGCGUGUAUGAUGAAGGCCUUCGGGUUGGAAAGCUCCUUUUGCGGGGAAAAAAGGAUCAGGUUUCAUACCUUUGCUGGAUCAUUGUACCCAAACAACAAGUAACUCCUAACUACGUGCCAGCAGCCUCGAUAAUUG